rnacentral:rRNA from 1 species
UACGGGGGGAGCAAGCGUUGUUCGGAAUUACUGGGCAUAAAGCGCACGUAGGUGGUCCGCUAAGUCGUGUGUGAAAUACCCCGGCUCAACCGGGGAAUUGCGCACGAUACCGGCGGCCUCGAGGGAGGUAGGGGCGUGCGGAAUUUCGGGUGGAGCGGUGAAAUGCGUUGAUAUCCUAAGGAACACCGGUGGCGAAAGCGGCAUACUGGGUAUUUUCUGACGCUCAUGCACGAAAGCUAGGGUAGCGAACGGG